rnacentral:rRNA from 1 species
UACGAAGGGGGCUAGCGUUGCUCGGAAUCACUGGGCGUAAAGCGCACGUAGGCGGAUUUUUAAGUCAGGGGUGAAAUCCCAAGGCUCAACCUUGGAACUGCCUUUGAUACUGGGGAUCUGGAGUCCGGAAGAGGUUGGUGGAACUGCGAGUGUAGAGGUGAAAUUCGUAGAUAUUCGCAAGAACACCAGUGGCGAAAGGCGGCCAACUGGUCCGGUACUGACGCUGAGGUGCGAAAGCGUGGGGAGCAAACAGG